rnacentral:rRNA from 1 species
GUACACGCUGUGACUAGCAUAUCAAUAAGCGGAGGAAAAGAAACUAACAAGGAUUCCCUUAGUAACGGCGAGUGAAGUGGGAAGAGCUCAAAUUUGAAUCUUCAAGGUUUUACCUUGACGAAUUGUAGUUUAAAGAAGUGUUUUCUGCUGAAGUUUUUGUAAAAGUUCUUUGGAAUAGGACAUCAUAGAGGGUGAGAAUCCCGUAUUUGACCAUUAUUUUCAGCUUUAUGAUACACUUUCAAAGAGUCGGAUUGUUUGGGAAUGCAGUCCAAAACUGGGUAGGUAAAUUUCAUUCUAAAGCUAAAUAUUGGCGAGAGACCGAUAGCGAACAAGUACCGUGAGGGAAAGAUGAAAAGAACUUUGAAAAGAGAGUUAAAUAGUACGUGAAAUUGUCAAAAGGGAAGCGUUUGACACCAGUGUUGUUUUCUCGAAAAUCAAUUAAAAAUGGCUCGAUUUUGUAUUGCUGAGACCUUAAAAGCUCACUGUACAUUUUUCGUGUCUUUUUUAAUGCACUUUUCGUUUAACAAGUCAACAUCAGUUUCUUUUGUUGUAAAAGGGUCAUUGGAAGGUGGCUUUCUUUUCGGAGAAAGUGUUUAUAGCCUUUGGCCUCUGCAAUCGGAAGAGACUGAGGUCUGCAGCGUAGACUCUUCGGGGUUAGAUACAUUUGUGCUAAGUUAUAGCUUUUUAUAGACAACUUGUUGACUAUAAUUAGUCUUGUAGCUUACUCGCUUAUGCUAUUUUACCUACGCUUAGGAUGUUGAGUAGCGACAUACGCAC